AUUGAACGCUGGCGGUAUGCCUUACACAUGCAAGUCGAACGGUAGAGGGGCAACCCUUGAGAGUGGCGAACGGGUGAGUAAUACAUCGGAACGUGCCCAGUCGUGGGGGAUAACGUAGCGAAAGCUACGCUAAUACCGCAUACGACCUGAGGGUGAAAGCGGGGGAUCGCAAGACCCCGCGCGAUUGGAGCGGCCGAUGGCAGAUGAGGUAGUUGGUGGGGGAAAGGCCUACCAAGCCUGCGAUCUGUAGCGGGUCUGAGAGGACGACCAGCCACACUGGGACUGAGACACGGCCCAGACUCCUACGGGAGGCAGCAGUGGGGAAUUUUGGACAAUGGGCGAAAGCCUGAUCCAGCCAUACCGCGUGCGGGAAGAAGGCCUUCGGGUUGUAAACCGCUUUGUCAGGGAAGAAAUCUUCUGGGUUAAUACCUCGGGAGGAUGACGGUACCUGAAGAAUAAGCACCGGCUAACUACGUGCCAGCCGCCGCCGUAAGAC
rnacentral:rRNA from 1 species